rnacentral:rRNA from 1 species
GACGAACCGUGCGAACGUUGUUCGGAAUCACUGGGCUUAAAGGGCGCGUAGGCGGGUUCGCAAGUCUGUGGUGAAAGCCUCCAGCUUAACUGGAGAAGUGCCAUGGAUACUGCGCAUCUUGAGGAGGGUAGGGGCGUCUGGAACGGUCGGUGGAGCGGUGAAAUGCGUUGAUAUCGACCGGAACUCCGGUGGCGAAGGCGAGGCACUGGACCCUUUCUGACGCUGAGGCGCGAAAGCCAGGGGAGCAAACGGG